AAUCGAAAGACGUUGAAGGUCGUAUUUUUAUUAUUAUUUCAAAUCAGAAUUGUCACAACAAAUAAUUCGAUUGACUUGGAUUAUUAACCUUCUUAAUCAAUUCCUGAGUAAUUUAUUAAUCCAAUUAUCGCAUGGACUGACACUUGAUAGAUGGUCCAUGGGGAAAGUUAGAAGGAAAUAUUCGCGACAGACACUUUUGGCCAGGCACCCACUUCAAAGGUCCUCUUAAUGGGAAAGCAGGUUCUAGAUCGCAGGCCCCGGCUUGUUCCCCAACUCAUUCCGUAAACUACGUCGAUGGCAGCUUUAUAUGUUCAAACAUAAAUCAUGCAUGAAUGUGGCAGAAAACUGAUUCAAGUGGACUGGGAGCGGAGGCACUGGCGUACACAACUUUGUGCAAACUCCGACGAACAACAGGCGGUGGCAAAUUGCCCAACAAAUCAAUCAAAUACAUCUGACAGAUCCUGGAGGAGUCGAGGAAAAGUUAGGAUGCUCCACAGGACAUGUAAAUGAAAGCAGGAUGAAAACGAACGGCUCUGGGCUGCCAUUAAAGUGGCUUGUCGAAUGGUCCGGCCAACGCCGAUGACCGGACAUGAUGGCCAAUGAUGCGGUUCGAUUAUUUAGGCCUUGAUCAAAGUUUUAAGUUGCAAAGUUGAAGAGAGAGACGUCCCGAUUAAAUAUUCAUCCUCAACCCUGAACCUAAAA
rnacentral:sRNA from 1 species